UGUGUGCAACAUCCCUGCACGUGUGCAUACGCACACGCAACACCCCCUGCACGUGUGUGUGUGUGUGCGUGUGCAACACCCCUGCGUGUGUGUGUGCAACAUCCCCUGCACGUGUGUGCAACACCCCUGCACGUGUGUGUGCAACACCCCCUGCACGUGUGUGUGUGCAACACCCCCUGCACGUGUGCAUACGCACACGCAACACCCCCUGCACGUGUGUGUGUGUGCGUGUGCAACACCCCUGCGUGUGUGUGUGCAACAUCCCCCGCACGUGUGUGUGCAACACCCCCUGCACGUGUGUGUGUGUGCGCAACAUCCCUGCACGUGUGUGUGCAACAUCCCUGCACGUGUGCAUACGCACACGCAACACCCCCUGCACGUGUGUGUAUGCGCAACACCCCCUGCACGUGUGUGUGCGCAACACCCCUGCGUGUGUGUGUGCAACAUCCCUGCGUGUGUGUGUGCAUGUGUGUGCAACACCCACCUGUGUGUGCCUCCCCCACCUGUGCGUGUGCAACACCCCCUGCACACAUGUGCAUGUGCGCAACACUCCCUGCACGUGUGCGCAACACUCCCUGCACGUGUGCGUGCAACCUCCUGCACACGCAUGUGUGUGCAACACUCCCCACAGCUGUGUGUGCAUGGGCAAUGCCCCCUGCACACGUGGGCGUGCGUGCAACCUCCUGCACAUGCAUGUGUGCAACACCCUUGCAUAUGUGCAACACCCUGCACACACGUGUGUGCAACACCCCAGCAUAUGUGUGUGCACAACACCCUGGCACAUGUAUGCACACAACACACGUGUGCAACAACCCAGCACACAUGCAACACCCCACACACGUGUGUGUGCAACACCCCGGCACACGUGUGUGCGCGCAACCCCUGUACCACUGCAACACGCCCACAUACACGUGUCCAAAGCCCCCUUCACAGGCGGAGGCUUCCUGUGCAACAGCCGCGUGUCACCCCCACACACGUGUGCUUGUCCUCUGGCUUGGGGCAAGGGGGACCCCAAUCCGGGUGGAAAAACUCCCAAAAUCCAGGGUGGAAACCCCCCAAAAUCCGGGUGGGGGGAGACCCCCUAAUUUGGGGGGAAAAGACCCCAUGGGGGGGGAGGGAAGCUUCUGCAUCCAGAAGCCAAAAAACCCCAAUAUCCAGCAAUGCAAAUGUACCUUUUUUGGGGGGAAAAACCUCAAUAUCCAGCAAUGCAAACACAGCUUUUGGGGGGGGGGAACCUAAUAACCAGAAAAGCGAACCCACUUUUUUGGGGAAAAAAACCCCAAUAUCCAGCAACGCAAACACAUCUUUUUUGGGGAGAAAAACCUCAAUAUCCAGCAAGGCAAAUGCAGAUUUUGGGGGGAGAAAAACCCCAAUAUCCAGCAAUGCAAACGCCCCUUUUUUGGGGGGGAAAAACCUCAAUAUCCAGAAAUACAAAUGCAAACUUUGGGGGGGGAACCCCAAUAUCCAGUAAUGCAAACGCCCCUUUUUUGGGGGGAAAACCCCCAAUAUCCAGAAAUACAAAUGCAAACUUUGGGGGGGGAACCCCAAUAUCCAGUAAUGCAAACGCCCCUUUUUUGGGGGAGAAAAACCCCAAUAUCCAGCAAUGCAAAUGCCCCUUUUUUGGGGAGAAAAGACCCAAUGUCCAGCAAUGCAAACGCCCCUUUUUGGGAGAGAAAACCCCCAAUAUCCAGCAAUGCAAAAGUGUUUUUUUCUAAGGGGGGGGGGGUUAAAAGGCGGCACCGGGACGCCGAGACGAGAGGCGUCGCGACCA
rnacentral:lncRNA from 1 species